rnacentral:misc_RNA from 1 species
AAGUCGUAACAAGGUUUCCGUAGGUGAACCUGCGGAAGGAUCAUUAACACGUAUCCAAACGUUAAAACCCCCCCCGUGAACCUUCAUCCUGCUCUUGUAACCCGCGUAGUUCGCAAUCUCUGAUAAAUCAUAGCCCGGAAAGUUGUAGUGAUUCAGAGACCUCUGGCUACGUGCGAACAUUGGAACAGUUACAAUCGAGCGGUAGUUCUAUAGGCAAUGUUUCCCCAAGCAGUCAGUGUCGGAAAGUGUCAUUGAUUGUGCAAGGAUAGCGCUUCUACGAUUCCUGUAGACCGCAGGAGCUUUGCCAAAGGGUCCCCAUGCCCCCUAAUAACCCCUGGGUAAAAAAACCGAACAACUGUUAACAAUGGAUAUCUUGUUCUC